rnacentral:lncRNA from 1 species
CUGCAGAACGAAUAACAAGCAGCCGGGGACAAGCAAAUGCUUGUUAUAUGGUCUUUGGAGGAAAACAGAAGAUGUUUAAAAAAAAACGCUGAAAUCAGAGGAGGAUGUGAUUUGUGCUCCGUGCUGAAAGUACAAUGCCGUUAAAGUGUGCGGAUAAACUCCUCAAUCUGUUAUCUCAUGCUGGUGGUGCAGAUCAGAGUUGGAGCCGGUUUUGUGUUUCAGUGAAAACUUUAAAAAAUGUACAAAAAUAAGUCACUUUAUUUGAAUCCGGUAGAAGAAAGUAGUUCAGGAAAACAGCUCAGCACUAGUAGAAGAGCACAUCUUCAGAUUCAAAUACUAGAAUCAGCAACACAUAGAAGCAGCGUUUAAUGAAAACUCCUUCAACUUUGGGUUUAUUAACUUGGGUGAGCCUUUGAUCAAAGCUGUUUUUGCUUAUCUUGUUUUAUACAUGAGUGUAAGUGUUUUCUUUUCUCCUCUUUUUUCUUUUAAAAGUCACAUGUAUCACUCAUUGUGAAUCUUUGCUCAGAAAAUGUUGCUCCAGCAGUGUGCGGUACUUUGUCUUACACCCACAGCAGCAAUUUUAAGUAAAAACUUUAAGAGUUUUUAGGCAACUGGAAUUAAUAUUGUGCCAUAAAAUAUUUCAACCAGCUAUGCACUCAAAAGUCAGCCUGCUGCCUCAUACAGACUUUUUGACCUCUCGAGACACAGGAAACCAAACGCAUUGGUAGCUGAUUUUAAAGUUUUUUAUGUAUUUUUUAUGUUCUAUACAUGCAGUCAUGGCUAAUUCUGAAAACAAUCCCCCAAGAUUCAGACAAAUAGUUGAGUAAAUAGCUGAUGCCUUGUGUGCUGUUUUAAACUCUGCCUUGAACAAAUAGAGCAUGCAGAAAUAGUUGACACACAUUCACCGUGUUAUAAGAGCAAUCAGGACAAAGACUGCUGUGCUUUUUUUUUUUUAUCAAAUAAAAUUCAUAAAGUGUCCUGUUCUAGUUUCCAAUCAGAAGCAGGAGCUGACUGAGGCGAUGAGCAGCCUUUGAUUGACCUUAAACGAAGAAUCUGGUCCUCGAAAAAAGACAAAUCAGGAUUAUUUGAACGUUUUUUUGUGAAUUGCCAAAUUAAAGCCCCAGUGAUGACUGACCUGAUACUGACUACUGAGGGCUACUUGAUUUAUCUUCUUUAUUGAAUCUGAUUUUGUGCUUGAAAUUGAUGUAACUCUUGAGGCUUCCUCAGAUGUAGAGUUAACCCUUAAGUCUAACUUUGUUAUUCUGUUAAAUGUGAAAGAAUAAUCACCUUUAACUCUUAAAAAUCCCAGCCUGUGUAUUGCUGCUGAAAUGCAUUUUUUUCAACAUCCCCCUGAUUUGUUCAAGUCCAAAGCCACGGGUCACACAGUGCUUCUUUCUCCCCCCCUCCGUCCCUCUCUUGCUCCUCCUCAUACACAAACAUAUCCCUCCAUCUCCUGUCGGCCUCCCUCCUCCUGCCCCUCCGUCCUUCCCUCUCCUCCUAUCUUGAUAAUGCAGCUCUUUUCUCUCUGUCGGGGUGGAGGGCUGCCUGAACCAACAUUGUCCCCUAUGCCGGCUCUAGUGGGGGGCCCUAUUGUGUGUGAAGGAAUGGGGAGUUAACACCCAUGUCUGAACCUGCUCAAUGGGUGCAUUGUGUCUGAAUCUUCCCUCGGCUCACCCAAUCUCACCCUGCGUCUCUCCUGCCCUUGCACGGGCCAAGGAAGGCAGGGUGUCCUCCAUGUCCUCAGCCAUUAAAAACAGAAAACAUAAACACAACUCAAAACUCACAAACACUCAAACUGGUAUUCUCAGCUCUUUGCUUUCUGUGUCCGGUUGAGUUUUCCAGCAAACUGCAGUGGGUUCAACACACUCCUGCACAAAAAGUGGGGGGUCAGUGGGUGCAUGGUUACUAAAGGAGGCCCCUGCGUCUCGUUUUUGUUAUAGAACAGAACAGAGAGAUGUAUAAAGGACAAUAUUGUAUUAGCAUGAUAACAGGAUUCAGAUGCUUUUUGAAAUAUCUCGAGUUGUAGGGCGUCGAUUGAAUCGGCUCAAAUUAUUACGUUAGAUUCAGCAAAGUUUCAAAGCAAAUCGUUCAAAAGAAUCUGAGGCAUGAUUAAAAAAGAUAUUAGACAUAAUGUUGAACCCUAUUGAAGUAUAAAGUGGAUUUUUUAUUGUGAGUUUUAAUGAGAGUGAUUUAUAUUUCAGGUUAAACAUUUAAAACAAUGAGCAGAAAUGGACUCGUCUGUUUCAGUAUUCUGAACAUUUAUUUGUUUCUGUAGCAGCGAGAGCCUUGGGGCAGGUUACAAAAGAGCAAGUUGGUGUUUUCUUCCCACAUAUUUUUAAUCAAAGUGUUAGUGUUUACAUUUGCAUUUGCAUUGAGCACAGGGAGGCUGAAUGCCAAAGGUGAGAUUUUGAAAAACACUCUAUUUUCCCUUUUUUUGCAGAUGGAAACAAGGGUGGGUGGUUGGAAGGCUGCAUAAAGGCUGCUGGAUGACUGAACUCAGAGACCCGGUGCAGCUCAUCAUCAUUGCCACGGGCUUUCGUCUUCCUCCUCUUUCUCCUGUGGCCCCGUACCAUUCCAUCCAGGGGUCCAGCAGAGCCAGCGAAGCCCAGGCGGGGAGCUUGUGAGUGGGCUGGGAAGGAUGGAGAAGCUCCCUGAAGGCUCGGAGCACCUCUGGAGCUAGCGGCGUGCAGGAGAAAUCAAUAUGAAACACAGAGCGCUGCACAGCUCUGAGUGGGGUUUCCUGUGUUAGUCUGCGGCCUCGGGGCCCGCAGACCUCCAAAGGACAGGCCCUGCAUGGCCCCUCUCAGCUGCAGAACCGGACCUCAGUUCCGAUCUCCGCUGGCUGUGUGUGGUUCUGCUGAAGGGGAUUGCUCCCCAAAUAAUACCCAGAAUGUGGAGAGACCGCCGAGAGGGAUAUUUCUUUUUCUCUUGAUUUUUCCUUCCUUCAUAAGAUUGACAUAUCCCCCACCUCCUGCCUCCAGCUGCUUAAAAACCAGUUUGGGAGAUCUGCUUUGGACUCUCUCUCCGUUCUCAACUCACCCGCUGUUUAUUCCCUGACCAGUUUUUAGAUUUGACAAAGAGACAGUACGAUCUUUAUUUUCUCCUCCACUUUCUCUUGGCUUGCAGUUACCAUGGUGAGCUGUAGAUGUGUCUGUUACGACCAGAAACGCAGGUACACGAAGUUUCAGCAUCUUUUUUUUUUUUUUUUGCUCCUCCAUGAUGUCUGCUCUUCAAUGCAAGACUGUAAAAAAAAAGUUCCCAACCACAGAGAGGGAGGAAGAUCACAGAGCAGAGAGACCCUGACACUCUGUAGAGGAGCUGGUGAAAUGGCAAGUAUCUCUCUUAAGCACUCAACAUAUUCCACUCCAUGAACAGCUCUCAGUGUGCUCUCAUUAAGUCAAACCCUGCCUCAUAUGGUGCUGCAUGUGUGUGUUUGUGCUCCCUUGUACCUCACAUGGUUCAGGGGGAUGUCAAUUACAGCUUCAAACAGAGGUUUCCCAAACUCUCAGAAAUACUUAGAAGUUAAAAAAGUUAAUCGGCAUAUUUUCAUCAAACCCCUCUGAUCAGUUGAAAAAACGUGUUUCUGUAUUCUCCAGCACAGAGCGCUCUGUUUGUGUGUGUAAGUGGUCUGUAUACGCUCCCAUUUGAACGGGUUUGCCAGUGUGCAGCAGCAGCAGCAGCAGCAGCACCCACAGCUCGUCAUCACAGCGAUGCAGUACGCCUGUUCCCAUCCAGAUGGGCACAGAUUCAGACAAAAUGGCCGCCAGUCUUCCCACUCUGCCAAAGAUGGCGGGCGCAACUCUGUCGCCUGCCAUCUGUGCAUCCGUUAGCUGUUGUCCAAUGCAAAUCAGGGCUAAUUGCAUUUGCAUAACCUCCAAACCGUCAGGUCGUUUGCACGCUCUGGUAAUUGCUCGUAUGAAGCGACGGCGUAGAUGACGUUCAAGCAGAAGCGCGUUCGUGUUUUAGCGUGUUUUGGGGCAUAAGUGUGUGGGUUGUUUUUUUUUAGGUUGUGGGUUUUGGCGUGCUGAAACAUGUCUGAUCGCUCCCUGAGAUCAAGAGUGUGGUCGUUCUGUGCCAUAUGGCGUGUUUGCGUGUGAUUCCCUUGCAUGCAAAUGUGACACUGUACUGAAAGAUUAAGUCAAAGCUGUUUUAGAAUCAGAGCUCUGUCACGCACACACACACAGACACACACACAUACAUAAUACACAGAUGAAAGCAUUAAGCAAAUAGAGCAGCUCAGACAUGCUCACAGGCUUUAAUUAAAAAGGGAUCCAUAGGCCCAACAAACUCUAGACACACCGCCAUCGUAAUAGUCUCAUAUUCAUGCACGUUGGUGUCUGGUUACCAUGGCGCUAAACAAAUGGGGGAAAUGGUUAAAUUAGCCGCACAUGACACGAUAAAUAGGUGAUAAAUUCUCCUGGUGAAGAAUGAUAUCAGUGUUAUUUCAAAGGAAUACAGAGUGAGACAGAAACGAUAGAUCUGCUGAAGGAUCAGCUGGAAAUAUUUCACCCAGAGAUCCGAUAACCUGGUGAAUACUGUUCGGAUCUGUUUAUGUAAUCAGACUGAAGCGCUGUGAAAUUGAAUAUCUCACGUUUCUGCUUUUCCACCACUGUGUCGCUUUCGAAGUCUCAUUUGAUUGAGCCGCUCUUGUUUUUGGGGGGCGUUUAUUCAUGUGAUGAGAGUCGUCUUUGUAACAAGGCGGCGCUCGUAUUUGCAUUCGCCCAUCGGGGCAGCUGCAGUGCUGUACAGUUAUGUCUACUGUGGGCAGCAAAAUGGCGGUCACGCAAAUCACAGGGUCUGUCUGCUGGUCGUGGGAGCUGAGGCGAGAGAGGAGGGGGAGGAGGAGGAGGAGGGGGAGGAUUUCAGGGCGUCUGGUUUGAGAAUAUGAGGGAAGGUUGCAGGGUCUAGACUAUGGGGUUGGGGGGGUCGCUCAUGAGGGGAUGAUGGAGUGGGGGGGGGUAUUUGUAGAGGUUAUUAUUUGAAGGGGGGGGUGUCUGGUUUUAGGAGGAGCAAUUAAUGAAGGAGUGAAGAGGAGAGGAGGGGGUUUAGUUUGUCUGCAUUUGUGAACAUGUGUCUGUGUCUCGGACAUUUGCAUAGAGCAAAGAGGGCGUCCAUAUGCCGCGCGGCACGGGGAGGCGAGGCGGGUCUGUCAUUUCAGGGUCUGAGCUGAGCGAAGACCUUGCCAAACACCCAGGAACACACACUUUACCACAGUCCUCACAAUAACUCUGAAGCACUCCUACCAUGCUAGAGCCUCAUGUUAGCAGCAUCACUGUUUCUGUCCUUUUUACCAGCCAAUGAGGGGACGCGGAGCUGCUUUCAGCCAAUAACGGCGCGUAAAGACCCAGGAAGAGGAAGGGAAGGCGCGGAGAGUUUACCCUUGAUGUGCCAGGCGAGAGAGGAUAAACAAUAAAACGCUUCUGCGCGGAGAGAGAGAGAGAGAGAGAGAGAGCACAGGGGGAGGAAGAAAAUGAGCAUCACUCUGCAUUCAUAACCCAGUUGGAAGGCAGAAAGAUAGAAAAUAAAGCAGCUGAUUAUGGGGAAAUAGAGAUCGAACGUCACACAUUUUCUUUGUAUGCCAGACACAGGGUGGUAGAAUGAUUACACGUCAAUCUGAGGGGUACAAAGGCAAAGAAAAGCCCCCCCUCCGCUGAAAAGAAAUGGAGUCAUGAAGACGGCGAGAGCUGCCAGGCAUAAAAACAUAACAAAACUCUUUAACAGGAGCGGAAAGAGGAACAAAAUAUUCCUUCUAAAAUGAUCUCUGUUGAAGAGUGCACUCUUAAUGUGAGGCAAAAAUGAUCAUAAGAGUGUUUCAUUUUCUGCUGUAAAAUCAGACAUGGGAUUUUUAAAACCUAGAUUUAUUAUUCAUGUGUUUAAACAGGACCUUCGUUAUAUCGUUGCUACACAAACGAUAUUCCAGUGUUGCCUUUAGCUCAUGAAAAGAGACACAGAAGAAUUACAGCAUUUUUAAAAAGUCUGUCUCAUAUUUUUAGAGUCACAAAAAAUCUGACUUUAUUUAAUUCAGACCUUUAAUUACUACACAUUAUAUUAAUUUUACAUAAUAGAUUUCAGUUUUUAAUAAUUGCAGUUCUCUUUUUAUAAAAUUUAAACAUAUCCGAAUUAAAGUAGUUCAUUUCAAGGCGAGAGGAAAGGAAAGAAAGGUCUCUCUCUCUCUCUCCAUCUGAGAAGAAAUGAAGUCAUGUAUAGACAGGUCGUGGUCGUCAAAAGGCCUUAAACAUGCAGACAUCCAGACACAGACACAAUGCAGAUCUCCAUAAUGUGGCACAUGAAUACUGGCACGUUUAAACCACGAUCGUCUCGGAGCUGAGGGUCUGAGUGGAGCGUGGGAAUGUGUGGCGAACAUAUGCAGAACAGUCAGGCGCUGGCGAGACGGCCCUGCUAGCAUGAAUGCUGUCGUAGCAGGUGAAAAGAGGACCCUAGAGUUCAGGGGUCAAGGCCAGUGCAGGGGCUGUCUGGCUCAUGUGUGUGUGUGUGUGUGUGUGUGUGUGUGUGCGUGUGUCUAUGUGUGUGUGAGAGAGAGAGACACGCACACACUCUGGUUGUCGUCUGGGUCUUGAUGCUAAUGAAGUAGCCCGGCUGUUUGAUAAGCACUGCUGUCUAUUGUUAGCCCAGUCUGGUGCUUCAGAGAGGACUAGACGGGGUGUAGGUUUGGACAAGAGCUCCUUCAUCAUGUUCUAGUCGCAGCAGAGCAGCAGACAGGCAGAUCGACAGGCAGCCUGAAGUCAGGCCUCCCCUGCUGAAACUCUGAUUGUGUUGUCUAGAAGACUUCUGUGCUUUCUCUGACGUUCCCCCUCUGAGUGACACGUUGGUCUAGGGCUCUGCAGUGUGGUGCCGCUCU